rnacentral:rRNA from 1 species
UACGUAGGUGGCAAGCGUUGUCCGGAAUUAUUGGGCGUAAAGCGCGCGCAGGCGGCUUCUUAAGUCUGAUGUGAAAUCUCGGGGCUCAACCCCGAGCGGCCAUUGGAAACUGGGAAGCUUGAGUACAGAAGAGGAGAGUGGAAUUCCACGUGUAGCGGUGAAAUGCGUAGAUAUGUGGAGGAACACCAGUGGCGAAGGCGACUUCCUGGUCCAGCACCGACGUUCAGGCACGAAAGCGUGGGGAGCAAACAGG